rnacentral:ncRNA from 1 species
AACCGCCGUGUACGGAACCGUACGCACGGUGGUGUGGGAGGACGGGGGAAGCGACUCCCCCUCCUACCCGAU